rnacentral:rRNA from 1 species
UCUUUAUAAAAAUUGGUUUUUAAAUAAAAAUAUCUAUUUAAAAUAUUUUAAAGAUUUAAUUUAUUAUGCUGGGGCGGUGUUAAUAUAAAAUAAACUGUUAAUAAAUAAAACAAAUAUAUUUGAGAUUAAAAGAUCCUUAUUAUGGAUUAAAAGAAAAAGUU